rnacentral:lncRNA from 10 species
UUUUGGAGUACACUUCCACUAAAGUUAUAGCAUGCUUGAAUGGUUUAUUUCACCAAUAUUUGCUUAUGGAAAUAAAGGGGAGUGGCCGAGGAGAAAGGAGAAGAGGAGUGGAGGAGGGGUUUGAGGCUGAGGGAGGCUCUGACCACAGCACAGAGCACCGGCAACUUUGUCUAAUGUGAUCAUUAACCUUCCUGCAAAACACAGCUGGCAGUUCUCUGAGGUUUGUCACUAGAAUGUGAAGACAGCCACACAGAUAUUGCACAGACUAUUUACAGAUCGUUUGGUUUACAUUGAGAGUCAUUGCUCUACUUUUGUGCGGUAGGAAAAUGAGAUUUCAGCAAUUCCUUUUUGCAUUUUUUAUUUUUAUUAUGAGUCUUCUCCUUAUCAGCGGACAGAGACCAGGUAAAUUAAGCCUCUGAAAAAUGCUCCUAAUACUUCUCUCUUUUUCCUUCAGUUAAUUUGACCAUGAGAAGAAAACUGCGCAAACACAAUUGCCUUCAGAGGAGAUGUAUGCCUCUCCAUUCACGAGUACCCUUUCCCUGAGGUAUUUCUGACAGAAAAUAGAUUCGCUACAUUUAGGCAGUGUUCCAAAUUAGAUAUACCAGGAAAUGUUUCUUCACAGUUUGUAAUAUGUGAUAAUGGCUUAUGGCAAUGUCAAGACUUAAGAGAUGCAUACCAAUAAAUGAAAGAGUUAAAUGAAUGACAUGACUUUUGAGAAUUGCUUUAAUAGUUAAGGAAGAAAAUUAGACAGAUGAGGACAAUGUAGGAAAAUCUUGAUAACUGUUGAAUCUGAGUAACAGCUAUUUGGGGGCUAAUAUUAUUGCGGAUGUUAUGCAGAACGAGCC